UGAGUUGUGGCCUGUGGGGCGCAGUAUGGGCAGCUGGGCGGCAGAAGCGGAAGCAUUGUACUGAAUCUGUUUCGAAGCAAUGACUUUUGUUUCGCACUGUUACUUAUCUUUGCUGAGAAAUAUUUUUGUACGAGAAAUAAGGAUAUAGAGAGAGAGAAAAAAAUGCCGAACCAUCGUUUCUGGUUGUACCAAAAAGAUACAAAUUAUUGCAUUUAUGCAGAACGGCACCAUAUUGGACACUGCUCCCUUUUCAAAAAAAGGGACCUAAAAGAUUUGGUUUAUGUGAAGUGAGGGCUACGGAGAAAUUGGAGAAACAGGCGGGAUGUAGAAUGAAAGUCACCAGUAACAUAAGAUGUGAAGGAAUAUUUCCCCAACAGUUAAGUGUGAAUACAUCUUAAUUGUGCUGUCAUGAUUCGCCAUGCUAAUGCGGAGAGGGGACAAGAAGAGGAGCUAGAGAGAAGAGCAAGAGGGAGAGAUGGUGACUAAUGGCAGAUGAAGGCAACACGUUAUAUAUCUUCCUGUAACAAGCCCCUUUGUUUGUUUGUUUGGUUUGGCCCAAACAGAUGUCUGUCGCAUCACUAUUCACAGAAUCUGUAGUGUCGUCAGCAUCAUCUUUAUGAAGUGUUCCAGUAGUGUGGCAGUGGUAGCAAAUGACCACAUCUGAAGACCAUGAUAGCACGCCAUCUCUCCCGAUUGUCAAUGAUACAGUUGCGUAUUUAAUGCAACAGAUAACCGUUCCUGAAUGGGGAGGGGAUCUGGUAUUUGACUGCCGUCUCAUGUGAUUGUUAAAUGAUGCACAACUAGCCAGUUCUUGUUCUUUGCAUUGCUAUCAGAGGAUCGGUGUCCUGUUAGAGGCAUAUUAACAUUCUUUACCAUGAUUGGCUGCACACUCUCAGGGUUGACGUCUGGUAACUUAAAUACAGCCAAAGCAAGCUGUGGGUAGCAACCCUAGAGAGAAACAUUGAGAGCUGCCCAACACUGUGUUCUGCUGCUGGAGUAGUUGAAACACGGCAAUAUCCUGGAAAUGGAUUGGCAACCUUGUCAUCAAUCACUUGCUUCCUGGACCAGAGCUGAAUUAUCCUUCUACAUUCUUAGGAAGAUGUACAAGAAGAAUGGUGUUUGGAGCAAGUGGAUUGAUGCUUGUGUCCAGUGUUUCAUAAGCUGUGCAUGUGUCCUUGUGGUGCCGACUAGCUUGUGCAGCCAUUGAGGUCACAAUUGGGAAUGAUGGCACACAAAGAAUUAUCUUAUGAUGUUCUUGCCUAAAUGUCCUGGUAAGGUUUAAACUCUUCAGUUUGAAGAGCUACGUUCUGGUGUGUUUGCAUCCUGUGGAUUCCCAGUGACAAACCACGUGAACUGACCCUAUUGUGGUAUUGUGGUUGGAGGCUAGACUGGCAAACAGACUUUAAUGCUGGAAGCUUGGUUUGCUGUCAGAUCCCUUUUCCUAAACUGUGUCCUUAUGCAAUAUUGUGUGUGUGUGUGUGUGUGUGUUUUCAGGCAAAACAAAUGCUAGUGGGCAUCUUUGAGUGCAUCUGCUGCACAUAGAUUGUAUUUGCUUAUGUACUGCUGCUGGAUAUAGGGACGUUCCAAUACCAGAUUCAAUAAGAUAUUUGGUAUCAAUACCAAUACAUACAGUUAUAUAGGUCUUGUGAUAAUAUAGAAACAAAAGUAUUGAUAUUGGAAAUACAGCAAGGUAUUGAUGGCUUUUUACAUAUUUUUGAGCUUUCCUUUAAGACAAAUGGUUUAGAAUACAGUGCAAAAUAUGGGACAUACACUGUAUGUACAUGAACUGACCUCAGUAUAAAGUGUAGUAUACACAAAGCAAUAACAGUGAAAUUUUCAAAAUUUCAACCAAAGUAGAGGCGUAGGUGUAAAUUUCAUCUAACACACAAAUGCCAUUCUUAAAAACAAAACUACUUUUGUAGUGAAAAGUUGCAUUUAACUGAAAUAUUCUGUUUUGAUAUGCUGGCUAAAAUAUUUAUUUUUGUUGGUUUUUGGCAAAAAUUUGAUUUCCCUGUUGCGAGAGUGGAGUGCCAGGUUUGUGGUUGGAGGGGUGUUUGUUGUUUCAUGAGGCACUGAAGUUGCCAUAUUGAGGAAAUGAAUGCUUGCGUGUUUCUACGAUGUGUGAAAAAAUGGUCUUAUUGUUCUCUCAUUCUGUUAGAGAAUUUGAUUUCAGAGGGUCAUCCUCUUCUGCCAGGAGCAAGGACAAGCUUCUAAUAUAUCCUCCCAAAAUAAGUGUCUUUACGUAUCGUCUUCCUCAUAUUUGCCAGAGGAACUUUCUCCAGAUGAAUAAUGGCUCAAGAAGUAUACUGACUGCAGAUAUGGAAUUUUCUGCUGCAGAUCAAACGGCUUCGACGUUUCAGCA